UUGAGCUUGAUCCCUGGCUCAGAUUGAACGCUGGCGGCAGGCCUAACACAUGCAAGUCGAGCGGAUGACAGGAGCUUGCUCCUGAAUUCAGCGGCGGACGGGUGAGUAAUGCCUAGGAAUCUGCCUGGUAGUGGGGGACAACGUUUCGAAAGGAACGCUAAUACCGCAUACGUCCUACGGGAGAAAGCAGGGGACCUUCGGGCCUUGCGCUAUCAGAUGAGCCUAGGUCGGAUUAGCUAGUUGGUGAGGUAAUGGCUCACCAAGGCGACGAUCCGUAACUGGUCUGAGAGGAUGAUCAGUCACACUGGAACUGAGACACGGUCCAGACUCCUACGGGAGGCAGCAGUGGGGAAUAUUGGACAAUGGGCGAAAGCCUGAUCCAGCCAUGCCGCGUGUGUGAAGAAGGUCUUCGGAUUGUAAAGCA
rnacentral:rRNA from 1 species